AAGAACCUGGGCCAUGGGCUCUCUGAUCGUAGACAAACUGUACCUGUAUAAUGGAGCCUAUCUAACCCUUGGCACCCUUGGGCAUGAUGACAACCCAGAUUCUGCUUCAUCCAAUUUCAAGACUGAGAGAACACUCUUGAGUCACCUUAGAAAGACCUGGAGGAACUUGCCUUAGACAUGAAGAAAGAGCAAGGGUGUUUCUUAAAAGUGUGCAUUGGUUAAAGGGCUAAACUCAGAUUGGUCUGAAAUAGGAAAAGUGAAUGUUAAAAAACCCAACACUAUUUGGGGGAAGGCAGAACGGACUUCCAUUGGCAAAGCUCUUCACAAAUAUGGUGAUGAGCCCGAAGGUCUAGUGGAAAAUUGCCAUGGAGACAGAAGGACAAAUAGAGACUGGAAAUCGAGAUGGAAGGACAACCAGAGAUUGGACAUGGAGGCAGAAGGACAAGCUGUCACAGAG